rnacentral:tRNA from 2 species
GCCCUCGUAGCUCAGCUGGAUAGAGCAACGGCCUUCUAAUCCGUAGCGCGCACGUUCGAAUCGUGCCGAGGGCGCCA